rnacentral:rRNA from 1 species
GUCUACGGCCAUGCCACCCUGAACAAACCCAGUGUCUGAUCUCGAAAGCUAAACAGGGUUGAGCCUGGUUAGUACUUGGAUGGGAGACCACCUAAGAAGACCAGGUGUUGUGGGCA